GGAGCUUUAAACCCAAUUAUAUCUCUAACCACUAUAACCAUUUAACCGCUUAGAACUUAUAUACUUGGUUUUAGGUUGGGGCGACCACGGAGCACAGCCAAACCUCCACGAUGAACGGAACAACCCCCUUAUCUGAGAAUUACGCUUCUAAGAAUUAGCACACUAACAUAAAAUGACCCAUUAUUGAUCAACGAACCAAGUUACCCUGGGGAUAACAGCGCAAUCCAUUUUAAGAGCCCCUAUC
rnacentral:rRNA from 1 species